rnacentral:rRNA from 1 species
UCCAGACUCCUACGGGAGGCAGCAGUGGGGGAUAUUGCACAAUGGGGGAAACCCUGAUGCAGCGACACCGCGUGGGUGAGGAAGCGCUUCGGCGUGUAAAGCCCUAUCAGUGGGGAAGAAAAAGGACGGUACCCAAAGAAGAAGCACCGGCUAAAUACGUGCCAGCAGCCGCGGUAAUACGUAUGGUGCAAGCGUUAUCCGGAUUUACUGGGUGUAAAGGGAGCGCAGGCGGCGCGUUAAGCCUGGUGUGAAAGCCCGCGGCCCAACCGCGGGACUGCAUUGGGAACUGGCGCGCUGGAGUGCCGGAGGGGUAGGCGGAAUUCCUAGUGUAGCGGUGAAAUGCGUAGAUAUUAGGAGGAACACCAGUGGCGAAGGCGGCCUGCUGGACAGUAACUGACGUUGAGGCUCGAAAGCGUGGGGAGCAAACAGGAUUAGAUACCCCCGUAUA